rnacentral:rRNA from 1 species
GAUGAACGCUGGCGGCGUGCUUAACACAUGCAAGUCGAACGAACGACUAUUAACAGAACCUUUCGGGGCGAAGAAUAUAGAAGUUAGUGGCGGACGGGUGCGUAACGCGUGGGUAAUCUGCCUUUGUCAAAGGAAUAACUAUUCGAAAGAAUAGCUAAAACCGUAUAACAUAUUAAUAGGGCAUCCUAAUAAUAUCAAAACGAUAGUGGACAAAGAUGAGCCCGCGUCUGAUUAGCUAGUUGGUGAGAUAAAAGCCCACCAAGGCAACGAUCAGUAGCCGACCUGAGAGGGUGAACGGCCACAUUGGAACUGAGACACGGUCCAAACUCCUACGGGAGGCAGCAGUGGGGAAUAUUGCACAAUGGGGGGAACCCUGAUGCAGCAACGCCGCGUGAGUGAAGAAGGCAUUCGUGUCGUAAAACUCUGUAGUAGGGGAAGAAAGAAAUGACAGUACCCUAAAAGAAAGCCCCGGCUAACUACGUGCCAGCAGCCGCGGUAAUACGUAGGGGGCAAGCGUUAUCCGGAAUAACUGGGCGUAAAGGGUGCGCAGGUGGUUUAACAAGUUAGUGGUGAAAGGCAUAGGCUCAACCAAUGUAAGCCAUUAAAACUGUUUAACUUGAGUGCAGGAGAGGAAAGUGGAAUUCCUAGUGUAGCGGUGAAAUGCGUAGAUAUUAGGAGGAAUACCAGUGGCGAAGGCGACUUUCUGGACUGCAACUGACACUGAGGCACGAAAGCGUGGGGAGCAAACAGG